GUAUUUUGUCUGCCGUAGACAGGGUGGAUGUGCUCAGAGCCAGCAAAGAUAGGAAAGAAGAUAAGAAGAAAAAAAAGGGUGAAAAAAAAGGAUGGCUAAAAAACAAGCGAGCGGGAGAAGAAGAGGAGAGAGAAGGAGACAGUGUUGUGGGAGCUGUGAGAGUCACUAGGCUGUGGCUCCAUUGUCAAGGUGAUCGUCCAUCAAGAUGAAGUACUUGCACCCUUUGUGCCAGGACACCCUGUCUCUCCUAAAGAUGUGCUUCUUAUCAGGGCCUGCUUUGAGAGGAGUUUGUUUUGUUCUCUCAGCACCGGCAGCAGGCUGGCCCCUUAAGGCAUCUGUGCUCAAGGACGGGGCUUUCUCACUGUCUUCUUUAACAACUCAUCAUCCCGAACCAUUUGAAGUGACAGCUACAACCGGAUCUCCAGGACUGAAUGAUUGCCAUCAGAGACUUUUGUUUUUUUUUUAAGUCCUUCAACAGCAGUCUGAAGAGCUCCACGCUGCUUCAACACCGCGAGAAGUAGCUUAGACCCCUACCCAGUGUUUACAUAAUCUCACCCAUCCGUCUCUCACUCAACAGUGAUGGAGGGCCGCUGGGCAAUGAGGCAUUUACAUCUCAUCCAUGGCCUGUUUGUCUCCAAUGAGCACUGGGAGCCUAAAUGCAAAUAGCUGAUUGUUUGUUUUUUGUUGGCUCAAGUUAAAAUAACAGAAGUGUAACAAAUAAAGCAAUAAAGAAUGUUGUUGUGAAGCAUUGGUAAAGUGUAGAAUAAUUUGGAUAUAAAUAUAAAUGUUGACAUCUUUUCCCUUGAAAUUGUAGAAAUGAUUGCAUGCUUUUAAUAUAUUUACACUAAAGAAUUUGCAA